rnacentral:tRNA from 1 species
GCGGGCGUAGCUCAGUCGGUAGAGCAUCAGCUUCCCAAGCUGAGGGUCGGGGGUUCGAGACCCCUCGCCCGCUCCA